rnacentral:lncRNA from 1 species
UACCCCGCCCGCCCCUGGCCUCCGCCCUCGCAGAACGCCGCGGCGUCUUCCGGGGCCUGGCGGGCCGGGGACCGAGGGGGCGGGGAGGUGACCCGGCGGGGGCGGAGCCAGCGGGCGGGCGCGGCGCGGCGCGGCGCGGGAGGCGACCAUGCGCGGCGUGGGGGCGAUCCUGCGGCCGGCGGCGCGUGGCGCCCGGGACCUGAACCCGCGGCGGGACAUCUCCUCCUGGCUGGCCCGGUGGUUCCCUAGAACCCCAGCCAGGUCCGUGGUGGCCCUGAAGACCCCCAUCAAGGUGGAGCUGGUGGCAGGGAAAACCUACAGGUGGUGUGUGUGUGGCCGCAGCAAGAAGCAGGAAGCACCUGGGCCACAGAUUCCCAGGCCUUGAACCCCGAAAGCCUACAGCACCUGCCCUUCUGUGACGGCUCCCACUUCUUCCAACGCACUGGCCUAUCUCCACUCAAGUUCAAGGCCCAAGAGACCCGCAUGGUGGCACUCUGUACCUGCAAGGCCACUCAGAGGCCCCCGUACUGCGAUGGCACCCACAGGAGUGAGCGCGUGCAGAAGGCAGAAGUGGGCUCCCCACUCUGAGGGGGCUGCUGCUGUCCAGCCACAGGUGGCCUUGGCUCCAGGCCUCUGACAGGCACCCCCUUCUGUGGGAAAGGAAACAGGUGCUGAGCCCAAGAGAUUCUGGUACCCACUGCUGGCUCAUGAAGGAAGAAUUAUUCCUUAUAACCUAAAAGUCUCCAGUCUGGGGCAGGCGGGAGUGGGCCCUGGUUCAAUGUUUGCUGAUGGGGAAGACGGCAAAAACAAGCCUGCCCAACCAGACUGGUAGUCCUGCAGUCACUGCUAUGAGGCCCACGUGCUGCCUCCUGCUCCAGAUUUUAACCUCUCUGUGGGCUGGGGGCACCUGACCAGCCACAGGAGAGGGCAGUUCAGAUUCAUUCUGUAUGGGGUCCCCAAGCCAGGCUAAACCCAGAGAUGAGAGGCACCCUUCCCUUCUUCCCUCCACCCCAAAGAACUACAUGCUCCAGAAAGUAUGCAGCAUUUAUUACAAAGCCAAGAGAUACAGAUGUCCCAGGGCAAAGGAGGGUACAGUCACAGGACCUCAGACACAGGACAAGGUGCAAACACAGACAAGCCCAUCAGGGGGCUCCCAACCCCACACACCUAGGCUAUGAUGGAAUCUCGAGUCUCGAUUCCUGACUCCUCUCAGAUCUAUGCACACUUGAGGAAAUCUCGGUGGGCAGCGACCUGCCAGGGUCUGUCCCUAAGGAGGUGGUCCGCUGACCUCUCAAGGGGUGGGGGUGGGGUCAGAGCUUACAGGUUUCUGUCUUCUUGUGCUUUUAGAUGCAGUUGCUCUGUCCUGACCAGGUGACCGGGCCUCAGCUGGGGGUGGAGGGGCAAUUGGAAGGCUGUUUGCCUCUGGCAAAGUCUGGGAUCUGUGCUUGUGUGAGGUUAACCCACCCCCACUUCCACUCUAGGCCCCAGGUGAGACUCCACCACCAGUCCUGCUAGUGAGGGUUCCCCGGUGAGGGUAAGGUCGGUGGGGGUGCAGCGCUUCACAAUGCUAAAGCCUUAGCCCUCCUCCAAGGGCUGAGACCUCUCAGGGCCUGAAUCUUCUUUUCCACAAGAUAAAUGAUGCAAAGGCCACACACACAGGAAAAAAAAAAAAAAGGCAGAACUAUCUAUUCUUUGCACAAAGUUUCCACUGCAAGAGGAGGAGGUGAUGCAGGUGCCACCUCCACCCUGCACUUGCUCCUCAGAACCAGGGAAAAACUGCAUUUGUAAAAGGCACUGUUCUUAGCAAUUUCUGGACAUUCAACAAUGCGGGGGGCGGCCACUGGUCAGAGGCAGGACAGCAGCCAAGAUGGGGAGAGAAACGGGGAGAGAAAGAAACAAUUCUGACUCCUAUAUGCAGCCAGUUGGAAUCAUGCCUAAAGCUUUGGGUCUGAAGGGGCCCCCAACACACCACCUGCCUUGGGAAACAGCGAGGACGGUGCAGAGCUUUAUUGAGACUCCAGUGGCCCAUCCAGUUCAUCUCCAGGCACCCCCAAAAACAGCAAAUUACACAAGACCCCCCCCCCAAAAAUGAACACCAUUUUCCACACAUACACACACACAUAAAGUUUGUUUCCUGUGGCAUUUAAAUUAAUCUGGUUGGUCCAUA